rnacentral:rRNA from 1 species
CCUACGGGAGGCAGCAGUGAGGAAUAUUGGUCAAUGGCCGAGAGGCUGAACCAGCCAAGUCGCGUGAGGGAUGACGGCCCUACGGGUUGUAAACCUCUUUUGUCGGGGAGCAAAGAGAGUCACGUGUGGCUCAUUGAGAGUACCCGAAGAAAAAGCAUCGGCUAACUCCGUGCCAGCAGCCGCGGUAAUACGGGGGAUGCGAGUGUUAUCCGGAUUUGUUGGGUUUAAGGGGUGCGUAGGCGGACUGUUAAGUCAGCGGUAAAAGCCCGGGGCUCAACCCCGGCGAGCCGUUGAAACUGGCUGUCUUGAGAUGUCGAGAGGUAUGCGGAAUGCGCAGUGUAGCGGUGAAAUGCUUAGAUAUUGCGCAGAACUCCGAUUGCGAAGGCAGCAUACCGGCGGCGAUCUGACGCUGAGGCACGAAAGCGUGGGUAUCGAACAGGAUUAGAUACCCUAGUAGUC